CAAAAAUAAAUUAUCAAAAAUCAAAAUCUAUCAUCUUUAACAGUCUUUAUGCCCUUUUUGUUCCACAUAAGAAUAAGAACAAACAAUUUUAAACUGAGUCCACAUAAAAAAAGGAACAAACAUAAAUAGCAAAAUGAUAAUGUUGUAGGUACACAGAAAACAAAACACUAAGAAAUAACACGUUCUAUCAAAAUUGCUUCAAUGCUUCGCAUCACAUGAAUCUAUUUCAAACUCUGAAGGAAACAUAGCUCUCAUAAACUUUUAACUUCCUUUGGCAUCAUAUUUGUGGCUCACCACCAGACUCAGCAGCAGUUUCAUUUACAGUUUCCUCAGCACUGGAAGGAGGAACUUCAUUCAGCUCAGGCUUCCUCCAACUCUUCUCGGUCUUGUCCUCGCGAAAAAUCAGCUUCCCGUUAGGACUCCCCCAAGCUUUCUUGGGGAUUGGAGCACCAUCACUGGACUCAGAAGCCUCCUUUACCUUCAAAGACUCAAGCUUUUGGUCAAUCUCCUUCCAAUCCCGUCCCUUCUCCUUCAAUACCUCCUCUCUUGGCCUAGCUGCCCCAAAUGGAUUAGUCCCUUUUGGCUUCGCCACAGGGGCAGGGACAGGAGCAGGCACGGGCUCAUUACCGUUCUGCUGUCCUUCACUCAAUGGCAAUGUCCUUGGUUGCAAAUUCAACUUUGGCCUACCACCACCAGCAGAAACUCCGUUCUCUUCUCUCUUCUUUCCCCAAUUUUCUGAAUCCACGCCACCGUUUGAAUCGUAACCGCCUCUUCUUUCUCUUAAACUGUCGAAUGCACCACCACCAGAGGCAAAUCUCCGUCCUCCUUCCUCUUCCUUUCUUUUGGUCCACCGAUCCGAAUCAGAAUCACUACCGUUUGACCCAAAACUCACUCUCCUAUCAAAUCUUCGACCAGAAGAGGGUACAAAAGCUUUAUUCGCACCCCAAUUAUCAGAUUCAUCAGCUUUAGACUGGGAAUCGGAGAAAAAACCUCCCCUUUCACCUCUCUCCCCUCUUCUUUCAAAACCAUUACCAGCCGAUGUUUUCUUAGCUGCACCCCAAUCAUCAGUCUCGUCGGCACGAGAGGGAGCAAUUUCCCUAUCGGUAUCUCUUCGGAACCCUCCCUGCCUACGAGAAUCGUCCGACGAACCCCUCCCCCCUUGCCUGUCGUAACCGUACGAUCUGAAACCACCACCAAGUCGAGACUGGUCAAGUUCCUCCGCAGUGCGCUCGCGAGGACCGGUGGGGAGCAUCAAGACUUCCUCCGGUGUCAGGCCUUUGGUUGACGCAGCGGCGGCAGUUUGUGACUGCUUAGCAGCGCUAUAAGUGCUGAACUCCUGAAGGGAUAGGGUUUGUGGCUUCUUCUUCUUUGUUUUGGUGGUGGCGGCAGCAGCCAAAGAUGGAAAAUCGGCAAGGCCACCGGCACCGCCGCCAUUGGAGUGAUUUUCAACCUUCACCGACUCUUCCUUUUGAAGUUCCAACUCGUUCUCCUCCGAAUCAAGUGCCCACGCGCCUGGUUUUUCCCACGCGCUCACGGUUGCCGCCAUGUUUGCUCUUUGCUAUUGCUCUUUGGACUCUUAAUCUCUGUGUAGGUUUUUU
rnacentral:misc_RNA from 1 species